GAUGAAGAACGCAGCGAAAUGCGAUAAGUAAUGUGAAUUGCAGAAUUCAGUGAAUCAUCGAAUCUUUGAACGCACAUUGCGCCCCCUGGUAUUCCGGGGGGCAUGCCUGUCCGAGCGUCAUUACAACCCUCAAGCUCAGCUUGGUAUUGGGCCCCGCCGACCCGGCGGGCCCUAAAGUCAGUGGCGGUGCCGUCCGGCUCCGAGCGUAGUAAUUCUUCUCGCUCUGGAGGUCCGGUCGUGUGCUCGCCAGCAACCCCCAAUUUUUUUCAGGUUGACCUCGGAUCAGGUAGGGAUACCCGCUGAACUUACGCAUAUCAAUAAGCGGAGGA
rnacentral:misc_RNA from 1 species